CUAGGAUUCCCUCAGUAACGGCGAGUGAAGCGGGAAGAGCUCAAAUUUAAAAUCGGUCAAGUUAUUUUUCAACUUAAUCGAGUUGUAGUUUGAAGAAGUGUUUAUCGACUUCGAUUCUGGCCAAAAUCCUUUGGAACAAGGUAUCAUAGAGGGUGAAAGUCCCGUUUUUAGCCAGAAAUUCGCAAGUCACUGUGAUACACUUUCAAAGAGUCGAGUUGUUUGGGAAUGCAGCUCAAAAUGGGUGGUAAAUUUCAUCCAAAGCUAAAUAUUGGCAAGAGACCGAUAGCAAACAAGUACCGUGAGGGAAAGAUGAAAAGAACUUUGAAAAGAGAGUUAAAUAGUACGUGAAAUUGUUAAAAGGGAAACGAUUGAAAUCAGUGUUGCGAGCUGAAAAUCAACGUUGUGAUAUGGGGACUCUGAGUAGAGGUAUUUGAGAGCCUAAAAAACCUCCCUCUACCCAGUAGCUUCAUAUUCCUGCGUGCACUUUUCUGUUUUUUCGCAGGUCAACAUCAAUUUCUACCAGUGGAAAAAAAGUGGAGAAAUGUAGAACUUCGGUUUGUUAUAGUCUUCAUUCCACGCAAUGGUAGGGAUUGAGGAUAGCAGUGUACGCCAAAUUUUUAGGGGCGAAAGUCUUGGGUAGAUUACCAGAAAUUGCGCAGAGACAGCUUGCUGACUCUGCGUUUAACGUAAGAUAAUAGACUUAGGUAACUUUUUUGGUACACUAAGGAUGUUGACAAAAUGGUUUUAACCGACCCGUCUUGAAACACGGACCAAGGAGUCUAACAAAUCUGCGAGUAUUUGGGUGAUCAAACCCCACAUGCGCAAUGAAAGUGAAUGAAAGUGGGAUAACUCUCCUAGAGAGUUUGCACCAUUGACCGAUCUUUACUUUUAAGUAUAGAUUUGAGUAAGAGCAUAUUUGUUAGGACCCGAAAGAUGGUGAACUAUGCCUGAAUAGGGUGAAGCCAGAGGAAACUCUGGUGGAAGCUCGUAGCGAUUCUGACGUGCAAAUCGAUCGUCAAAUUUGGGUAUAGGGGCGAAAGACU
rnacentral:rRNA from 1 species